rnacentral:rRNA from 1 species
GACGAACGCUGGCGGCGUGCUUAACACAUGCAAGUCGAACGGAAAGGCCCUGCUUUUGUGGGGUGCUCGAGUGGCGAACGGGUGAGUAACACGUGAGUAACCUGCCCUUGACUUUGGGAUAACUUCAGGAAACUGGGGCUAAUACCGGAUAGGAGCUCCUGCUGCAUGGUGGGGGUUGGAAAGUUUCGGCGGUUGGGGAUGGACUCGCGGCUUAUCAGCUUGUUGGUGGGGUAGUGGCUUACCAAGGCUUUGACGGGUAGCCGGCCUGAGAGGGUGACCGGCCACAUUGGGACUGAGAUAAGGCCCAGACUCCUACGGGAGGCAACAGUGGGGAAUAUUGCACAAUGGGCGGAAGCCUGAUGCAGCAACGGCGCGGGCGGGAAGACGGGCUUCGGGUUGUAAACCGCUUUCGCCUGUGACGAAGCGUGAGUGACGGUAAUGGGUAAGGAAGCACCGGCUAACUACGUGC